CGGAGAGGCUGGAGAAAGGGAGGAAGACGGUGUGGGGCUAGCAGACUGGGUCUCUGCCCCUAAGCGAGAAGAAGCUGCUUCCUGCACCCCGGCAGAACAGAAAGAAUGGAACACGGGCCUUAAUGGGAGAUAUUUUGGGAGCUGCAGACACAGAAGUCAACAAUCUGUUCCCUCGUGAGGGCUCUGACCUCUCAAAGGGAAGGAAAAC
rnacentral:lncRNA from 1 species